UACCCGCAGCACAAGUGGUGGUCAUUAUUAUUGGGCCUAAAGCGUCCGUAGCUGGCUUGUUAGAUGCCUGGGUAAAUCGAUGCGCUUAACGCAUCGAAUUCCGGGUAGACCGGCAAGCUCGAGACCGGGAGAGGUGUAGGCUACUCGAGGGGUAGGGGUAAAAUCCUGUAAUCCUUCGGGGAGGACCAGUGGCGAAGGCGCUACACUAGAACGGCUCUGACAGUGAGGGACGAAGCCCUGGGGCGCAACCGGG
rnacentral:rRNA from 1 species